GUUAGGAAUAUUGGACAAUGGGCGCAAGCCUGAUCCAGCCAUGACGCGUGAGUGAUGAAGGCCUUCGGGUUGUAAAGCUCUUUAGUCCACGAAUAUAAUGACUGUAGUGGAAGAAUAAGCCCCGGCUAACUUCGUGCCAGCAGCCGCGGUAAUACGAAGGGGGCGAGCGUUAUUCGGAAUCACUGGGCGUAAAGCGUGCGUAGGCUGUUUUGUAAGUCAGAAGUGAAAGCCCAGGGCUUAACCCUGGAAUUGCUUUUGAAACUACAAGACUCGAAUUCGGGAGAGGAUAGCGGAAUUGUCAGUGUAGCAGUGAAAUGCGUAGAUAUUGACAGGAACACCAGUGGCGCAAGCGGCUAUCUGGACCGAUAUUGACGCUGAGGCACGAAAGCGUGGGGAGCAAACAGGAUUAGAUACCCCUGUAGUCC
rnacentral:rRNA from 1 species